UACACGCAAGUGUGACGGGGCUACCCAAAGUGCUCCAUAUAGGAGCUGUGGUAGGUGCGUAAUGUUCCCUACUAGAAAGGAGAGGGCAAGGCUGGUGCCAGCCGCCGCGGUAAAACCAGCUCUUCAAGUGGUCGGGAUAAUUAUUGGGCUUAAAGUGUCCGUAGCUGGUAAGGUAAGUUCCUGGUAAAAUUGGGCAGCUUAACUGUCCUUAUGCUAGGAAUACUGCUUUACUAGAGGGCGGGAGAGGUCUGAGGUACUACAGGGGGUAGGAGUGAAAUCUUAUAAUCCUUGUAGGACCACCAGUGGCGAAGGCGUCAGACUGGAACGCGCCUGACGGUGAGGGACGAAAGCCAGGGGAGCGAACCGGAUUAGAUACCCGGGUAGUCCUGGCCGUAAACGAUGCACACUAGAUGAUGGUGCGGCCAUGAGCCGUAUCAGUGUCGUAGGGAAACCGUUAAGUGUGCCGCCUGGGAAGUACGGUCGCAAGGCUUAAACUUAAAGGAAUUGGCGGGGGAGCACCACAAGGGGUGAAGCCUGCGGUUCAAUUGGACUCAACGCCGGGCAACUUACCAGGGGAGACAGCAGAAUGAAGGUCAGGUUGACGACCUUACCUAACAAGCUGAGAGGAGGUGCAUGGCCGUCGCCAGUUCGUGCUGUGAGGUAUCCUGUUAAGUCAGGCAACGAACGAGACCCGUGCCUUUAUUUGCCAUCAAGAAGUCACGACUUCGUUGGGAACGAUAAAGGGACUGCCGUCGAUAAGACGGAGGAAGGAGCGGGCAAAGGCAGGUCAGUAUGCCCCGAAACCCCUGGGCUACACGCGGGCUGCAAUGGUGCGAACAAUGGGCUGUGACUCCGACAGGAGAAACCAAUCCCGAAAUCGCAUCUCAGUUGGGAUUGUCAACUGUAACCCGUUGACAUGAACGUGGAAUCCCUAGU
rnacentral:rRNA from 1 species